rnacentral:rRNA from 1 species
AUGGUAGGAGACAAACCUGAGGUGAUAGCUGAGGAGCUUCAUUCGGCUGGGUCCCAAUGGCUGCAAGUCAGCAAGGAACUCAUGCUCUGGGAGAUUCGCUGGCAAAUUCACCAUUUGGUGACCUCCAUGCUGUGGCGGAAUGGAUAUGCAUCUCAUCUCCUUGACUUGAGGGUUAUCCCGUGGAAUCAGCCCAUACAGGAAACCUACAACCUGUGUCCGUAGAUCUGCUAUGCAUAUCAAAUUCUUCAAUAUAUUCUUUGGCAUGAUGUAAGUAUAGCCAGUCUCCUGUACACAGAAUAUACACACAGUCAGUAG